rnacentral:rRNA from 1 species
GACGAACGCUGGCGGCGUGCUUAACACAUGCAAGUCGAACGGAAAGGCCCUGCUUUUGUGGGGUGCUCGAGUGGCGAACGGGUGAGUAACACGUGAGUAACCUGCCCUUGACUUUGGGAUAACUUCAGGAAACUGGGGCUAAUACCGGAUAGGAGCUCCUGCUGCAUGGUGGGGGUUGGAAAGUUUCGGCGGUUGGGGAUGGACUCGCGGCUUAUCAGCUUGUUGGUGGGGUAGUGGCUUACCAAGGCUUUGACGGGUAGUCGGCCUGAGAGGGUGACCGGCCACAUUGGGACUGAGAUACGGCCCAGACGCCUACGGGAGGCAGCAGGGGAGAAUAUUGCACAAUGGGCGGAAGCCUGAUGCAGCAACGCCGCGUGCGGGAUGACGGCCUUCGGGUUGUAAACCGCUUUCGCCUGUGACGAAGCGUGAGUGACGGUAAUGGGUAAAGAAGCACCGGCUAACUACGUG